CUGAUGCGUUGUUGGGUAGGGGAGCGUUCUGUAAGCCUGCGAAGGUGUGCUGUGAGGCAUGCUGGAGGUAUCAGAAGUGCGAAUGCUGACAUAAGUAACGAUAAAGCGGGUGAAAAGCCCGCUCGCCGGAAGACCAAGGGUUCCUGUCCAACGUUAAUCGGGGCAGGGUGAGUCGACCCCUAAGGCGAGGCCGAAAGGCGUAGUCGAUGGUAAACAGGUUAAUAUUCCUGUACUUGGUGUUACUGCGAAGGGGGGACGGAGAAGGCUAUGUUGGCCGGGCGACGGUUGUCCCGGUUUAAGCGUGUAGGCUGGUUUUCCAGGCAAAUCCGGAAAAUCAAGGCUGAGGCGUGAUGACGAGGCACUACGGUGCUGAAGCAACAAAUGCCCUGCUUCCAGGAAAAGCCUCUAAGCAUCAGGUAACAUCAAAUCGUACCCCAAACCGACACAGGUGGUCAGGUAGAGAAUACCAAGGCGCUUGAGAGAACUCGGGUGAAGGAACUAGGCAAAAUGGUGCCGUAACUUCGGGAGAAGG
rnacentral:rRNA from 1 species